rnacentral:miRNA from 15 species
GCUAAGAGCCUCGAUUCUUCGA